AUCUUAUCGAGAGCGGCGGAGGGAUAGGCCCGAUGAAGCCCGGCAACCGAUUUGUCACAGCAUAACUGCUGUUCUGCAAAUGUCAUGGUGCUAAUUCCUACAAUGCCGCUGAGUUUGCGGUCUUGGCAGAUGAGAC
rnacentral:ncRNA from 2 species